UCUAUACAGGUGGUGCAUGGUUGUCGUCAGCUCGUGUCGUGAGAUGUUAGGUUAAGUCCUGCAACGAGCGCAACCCCUGUACUGAGUUGCCAGCAUGUAAAGAUGGGAACUCUAAGUAGACUGCCGGUGAUAAAUCGGAGGAAGGUGGGGACGACGUCAAAUCAUCAUGCCCUUUAUGUCCUGGGCUACACACGUACUACAAUGGCUACAACAGAGAGAAGCGAGACGGAGACGUUAAGCGAAACCCGAAAAAGUAGUCUCAGUUCGGAUUGAAGGCUGAAAUUCGCCUUCAUGAAGCCGGAAUUGCUAGUAAUGGCAGGUCAGCAUACUGCCGUGUAUACGUUCCCGGGCCUUGUACACACCGCCCGUCACACCAUGAGAGUUGGGAAUACCCGAAGCCUGUGAGCUAACGUAAGAGGCAGCAGUCGAAGGUAGAAUCAAUGAUUGGGGUGAAGUCGUAACAAGGUAGCCGUAUCGGAAGGUGCGGUUGGAUCACCUCC
rnacentral:rRNA from 1 species